rnacentral:lncRNA from 1 species
AUUGUCACGACCCGGAAGCACCCCCUAGUCGUAACCGGCGUACUCGACCUCGAAGAGGUCUAAUACAAGCCUCUUAGCAUUCAUUCAUCGCAUAGACACCAAAACCAUAAGGAAUUAAAAACUUUCUUCACACACGAAGAUACUUUCAAUAAAUAGCAAGCGGAAGACUUUCUAGACUUUAUACAAUAUGUCUCAAAACCAUCUAAUACAUGAAUAUAACAUUGGGACUAAGCCCACUCAAAACUUAAGCAAAUACUAGAGAGACAUAAAAAAAGGAACAUGUUGGUUAUUGCCCUCGAAUCUAUGAGGACUCACCAAGUCUUCAUCUUCAACNNNN